AUUGAACGCUGGCGGUAUGCUUAACACAUGCAAGUCGAACGAUGAGAAAGAGCUUGCUCUUUCGAUUAGUGGCGGACGGGUGCGUAACGCGUAGGAAUCUACCUAUUAGUGGGGGACAACUUAGGGAAACUUAAGCUAAUACCGCAUACGCCCUACGGGGGAAAGAAGGGGAUCGCAAGACCUUUUGCUAAUAGAUGAGCCUGCGUAGGAUUAGCUAGUUGGUGGGGUAAAAGCUCACCAAGGCGACGAUCCUUAACUGGUUUGAGAGAAUGAUCGGUCACACUGGAACUGAGACACGGUCCAGACGCCUACGUGAGGCAGCAGUGGGGAAUAUUGGACAAUGGGCGAAAGCCUGAUCCAGCAAUACCGCGUGUGUGAAGAAGGCCUUAGGGUUGUAAAGCACUUUCAAUUGGAAGGAAAACCUCGAAGCUAAUACCUUCGAGUUUGACAUUACCUUUAGAAGAAGCACCGGCUAACUCCGUGCCAGCAGCCGCAGUAA
rnacentral:rRNA from 1 species